UACGGAGGGGGCUAGCGUUGUUCGGAAUUACUGGGCGUAAAGCGCACGUAGGCGGGUCCUUAAGUCAGGGGUGAAAUCCCGGAGCUCAACUCCGGAACUGCCUUUGAUACUGGGGAUCUUGAGUCCGGAAGAGGUGAGUGGAACUCCGAGUGUAGAGGUGAAAUUCGUAGAUAUUCGGAAGAACACCAGUGGCGAAGGCGGCUCACUGGUCCGGUACUGACGCUGAGGUGCGAAAGCGUGGGGAGCAAACAGG
rnacentral:rRNA from 1 species